rnacentral:rRNA from 1 species
UACAGAGGGUGCGAGCGUUUGUUCGGAAUUAUUGGGCGUAAAGGGCGCGUAGGCGGUGCGGUAAGUCACCUGUGAAAUCUCCUGGCUCAACUGGGAGCUUGCAGGCGAAACUGCCGUGCUGGAGUGUGGGAGAGGUGCGUGGAAUUCCUGGUGUAGCGGUGAAAUGCGUAGAUAUCAGGAGGAACACCGGUGGCGAAGGCGGUUCUCUGGGCCUGUACUGACGCUGAGGAGCGAAAGCGUGGGGGAGCAAACAGG